rnacentral:lncRNA from 1 species
AUUUUUAUUAACAUAAAUAGCCCAACGUUCAUGUGACGAGUAAUACACGUUCCUCAAUCGAUCAUGCUAUCCAAGGAGGCAACCCAUCGUGUUUAUUGGCUUCUCGUUAAGAAAAAAUUUUAGAAUGCAAUGGGUAUAUUGGUGACGUGGUGUAAUAAACGAAUCAAAUGACUCCUUUUAGAAAUAUAUGUCUCAUAUAAUUGUUUUAUUAUUGAUGAUGUGAUGCAAGUGUGACAGCGUAGAAUUCCUCCCCGUUAAGGCCCAAUGCCACCUCG